ensembl:lncRNA
UGUGUUUCUUCUAGUUUGUUUUUUUUUAAUUCUGGGGGGAAAAUACUCAUGACCCUCUCCAAUCUGGCCUUGAUCCUCAUCUGUAUAAACUCACCAAUUAACAUGUGAUCUUUUGAUGAAAUAUUAGUAAUAGUAAUGACAAGUUGUGGGCCAGAAAAGCAGACAGGUGAAGACCUUCGCAAUUUCGCAACAAAUGUCGCAACCUGCCGUUUCAUAUUUACAAAGUACGUAUGGAGGAGGUUCAUAAUUAACUCUGCGGAAAGUGAAUAUGUAUGUUUAGUAUUGAAUUAUUGCAUUGUGUAAACAAACGCAGGCUGCAUCUCAUAUAAGGAUUUAAAUGGCAAAGUCCAGUGAAGCAAUGGACCUUUUUUUUUCUGUUUAAAACGUUUUCAAGUCUCCUUUUGUAAGUGACACUUAUUUAAAUGUCCCUUUAAAUAUCUGUAUCUACAGCAAAAAUCACAUCAAAAUAUGGGAGCCACCCAAGAGGCCUGUCUGUGCUGUAACUUUAAAACGUUUCUGUAUUUCUAGCACUCCAGGAAAAUUUAUUUCAACAUUUACAGAUCUGCAAAUGUUUUGUUUUUUUUUUGUUUUUUUUAAAUCCACAUUUAUUAAUCUGCACCCAGAGAUCGCACACAGUAUUUGUUACACAUUUACAAAUCUGAGUAUACACACACAGACUGAAGAACAAACAACCUUUGACACACAUUUGAAAAUAAUUGUGCUACGGUAUAAUCUAGUACACAUUGUACAUUUAUUUCGGUCAUAGGCUGUAACUGGCACACAGGAGUUCACUGAAUCAGAGAUACUCAGUCAAAUACUGGAUCCUUACUGGGUCACAUCUUCUCAGUCUGGGGUUAGGUUUUUUUAAAACCAGUCAGUUUGUGUUUUUUACUUUUAAAAAAAAAAUGUUUAUAUAUAAUGUUUGUUUUUAAGAUCUGCAGAGCAUAAUUAUAAAUGUUUCUAUAUUGUGUUUGUGUAUAUUGCUUGAAAUCUUCCUUUAAUAAAUCUUAUUUAACUGAAAACUAGGAAGCAAAUUUAUUAUGAAAGCUAAACCUUACAAGCAAAAAAGCAGCUGAUCUAUUAUUCCUCUUUAUUUGGUAGAUAUGUGAAAAUGAAUAAACAUGAAUCUAUUUACAUAUAUUAAUAUAUUAAACGCAGACAUUGUCCAUGUUUAGACAAUGUUUUUUUUUUUUCCUUUUUCAGAUGUAUCAGCGAGUGCAGGACUUACAAAUUUACAAUGAUUUUUGCUUU